AGGGAUAUGAAAGAGAGCCACAAUAUAUAUAAUCUUCAACUUUGAUCCCACUUGAAAUAAGUGAUAAUUGAGGCUCAUAAUAGUGAUAUGUUAUAAUCAAUUUAUUAAUUUCUUGUGCCCAAAACCCAAAUAUACAGCUGUGUUUUUCUUUCAACGUAAUUAAUAUUCUGAAUUUAUUAUUCUGAACUAAUACAGUUGUGUUUGGAUUAACUAAAGAUACAAUCUUAGCGCGCGGGAAUUUGAAGGAACUUCAACUGAACGGAGGAAUGACAUGAGAACGAGGAAUCAUACUUUAAGAAUCCCACAGUAGCAGUUUGGUCAAUGAUGAUUAUAUCAUUUAUGCAACUUUUUAUCCAUCAACAUCUUUGUCUAUAUGAGCAAUGCUUGAUGUGUCUUGAAACCAAAGACUUUAAAAUAAGCAUCAAGAUCAUGACUUAGUGUUGGUUCUUUUGGCAUCUAAAAUUGUAAAUAUUUAUUAUCCAGACUAGUUGCAGGUUACUCCAACUUAUUGGCAAGGGCUAUUUCAAGUGUUAAUAUUAGGUAGUGGAGAUGUUGCAGAGCAAAGGUGGAG